rnacentral:rRNA from 1 species
GACGAACGCUGGCGGCGUGCUUAACACAUGCAAGUCGAACGGAAAGGCCCUGCUUUUGUGGGGUGCUCGAGUGGCGAACGGGUGAGUAACACGUGAGUAACCUGCCCUUGACUUUGGGAUAACUUCAGGAAACUGGGGCUAAUACCGGAUAGGAGCUCCUGCUGCAUGGGGGGGGUUGGAAAGUUUCGGCGGUUGGGGGUGGACUCGCGGCUUAUCAGCUUGUUGGUGGGGUAGUGGCUUACCAAGGCUUUGACGGGUAGCCGGCCUGAGAGGGUGACCGGCCACAUUGGGACUGAGAUACGGCACAGACUCCUACGGGAGGCAGCAGUGGGGAAUAUUGCACGAGGGGCGGAAGCCGGAUGCAGCAACGCCGCGUGCGGGAUGACGGCCUUCGGGUUGUAAACCGCUUUCGCCUGUGACGAAGCGUGAGUGACGGUAAUGGGUAAAGAAGCACCGGCUAACUACGUG